rnacentral:pre_miRNA from 1 species
AGGAGCAACAGCCCCAGUGGCGGGGCAGCUCUGGAAACCUGGAUUCAGCCCCCGCAGGAACUCUGGAGAUCUCCGUCUGCAGGGCCUGGAGGCUCCGGGCGGGG